GACGAACGCUGGCGGCGUGCUUAACACAUGCAAGUCGAACGAAGAGCGAUGGAAGCUUGCUUCUAUCAAUCUUAGUGGCGAACGGGUGGGUAACGCGUAAUCAACCUGCCCUUCAGAGGGGGACAACAGUUGGAAACGACUGCUAAUACCGCAUACGAUCUAAUCUCGGCAUCGAGGAAAGAUGAAAGGUGGCCUCUAUUUAUAAGCUAUCACUGAAGGAGGGGAUUGCGUCUGAUUAGCUAGUUGGAGGGGUAACGGCCCACCAAGGCGAUGAUCAGUAGCCGAUCUGAGAGGAUGAACGGCCACAUUGGGACUGAGACACGGCCCAGACUCCUACGGGAGGCAGCAGUGGGGAAUCUUCCGCAAUGGACGAAAGUCUGACGGAGCAACGCCGCGUGAGUGAUGACGGCCUUCGGGUUGUAAAGCUCUGUUAAUCGGGACGAAAGGCCUUCUUGCGAACAGUUAGAAGGAUUGACGGUACCGGAAUAGAAAGCCACGGCUAACUACGUG
rnacentral:rRNA from 1 species